rnacentral:ncRNA from 2 species
GCUCUAUCCCCGGGGAGCCAGCUUGUGGCUGAGAGGGGCGGAUUAAGCGCCGCCCGACCCGUUGAACCUGAACCCGUUAGCACGGGCGGAGGGAAGGGCGGCCCGGGCAAG